rnacentral:rRNA from 1 species
GAUCCUGGCUCAGGAUGAACGCUAGCUACAGGCUAACACAUGCAAGUCGAGGGGUAGCAGGGUAGCAAUACCGCUGACGACCGGCGCACGGGUGAGUAACACGUAUCCAACCUUCCCAUAACUCGGGGAUAGCCUUUCGAAAGAAAGAUUAAUACCCGAUAGUACUUAAGAAAGGCAUCUUUUUUAAGUUAAAGAUUUAUUGGUUAUGGAUGGGGAUGCGUUCCAUUAGAUAGUUGGUGAGGUAACGGCUCACCAAGUCUUCGAUGGAUAGGGGUUCUGAGAGGAAGGUCCCCCACAUUGGUACUGAGACACGGACCAAACUCCUACGGGAGGCAGCAGUGAGGAAUAUUGGUCAAUGGGCGAGAGCCUGAACCAGCCAAGUAGCGUGAAGGAUGAAGGUCCUAUGGAUUGUAAACUUCUUUUAUAGUAGAAUAAAGUGAUCCACGUGUGGAUUUUUGUAUGUAUACUAUGAAUAAGGAUCGGCUAACUCCGUGCCAGCCGCAGC